rnacentral:rRNA from 1 species
GACAGAGGGUGCAAACGUUGUUCGGAUUUACUGGGCGUAAAGCGCGUGUAGGCGGCUUGGCAAGUCGGAUGUGAAAGCCCACGGCUCAACCGUGGAAGCGCAUCCGAAACGGCCUCGCUCGAGUCUCGGAGAGGAAGGUGGAAUGCUUGGUGUAGAGGUGAAAUUCGUAGAUAUCAAGCGGAACACCGGUGGCGAAGGCGGCCUUCUGGACGAGGACUGACGCUGAGACGCGAAAGCGUGGGGAGCAAACAGG